GUCUUUGUGGUGAAAUUAUAUCACGUUACCUUUUCGAGGUAAAAUAGAAGGUUCUUCCAUAGAUA
rnacentral:tRNA from 1 species